AUUGAACGCUGGCGGCAUGCCUUACACAUGCAAGUCGAACGGUAACGCGGGGCAACCUGGCGACGAGUGGCGAACGGGUGAGUAAUAUAUCGGAACGUGCCCAGUAGUGGGGGAUAGCCCGGCGAAAGCCGGAUUAAUACCGCAUGAGACCUGAGGGUGAAAGCGGGGGAGUCGCAAGACCUCGCGCUAUUGGAGCGGCCGAUAUCAGAUUAGGUAGUUGGUGGGGUAAAGGGACCUACCAAGCCGACGAUCUGUAGCUGGUCUGAGAGGACGACCAGCCACACUGGGACUGAGACACGGCCCAGACUCCUACGGGAGGCAGCAGUGGGGGAAGUUUUGGUACGAAUAGGGCGGC
rnacentral:rRNA from 1 species